rnacentral:lncRNA from 1 species
UAAGAGAGGCCAAUGAUAUAGAGUUUAAGACCACUGAAAGAUCACCUGGGUCUAUAGUGAUUUUAAUCAUCCAAAUUUUAUUUAAGCUACAGCUGACCACAGUCUUCUUCACUGCAGCCCUCCCCUGAGUAGAGCUGGGGGGAGGAGGUGGUUCAAUGGCAAAAGGCACAAUUUAUUCCUAUCUAAUAUUGGCAGCCAUGAUUCCUGCUGAAAUGCACUUCUAUACUCUAUAUAUGAGAUAAUGCCUUGAAUUUUUGAAUUCCUGCAAUUCCCAAAAUUAUGUAACAAUCCUAAUUGACUAAAACAGCCAACCUCUAGGAAGGUUACAUUGGUCAAAAUGUAGUUAUUUUAAUGUAGCUACAUCCCCUACUGGCUGUGACUCCUAUGAAUCAAUCCAUUAAGUCAUAAUUAUGUUGGGAUAAACGUUGAUAUUGAACCUUUAGGGUCUUUAAGGUUAAUAUCUUAACUGUGUCAACUCUCUGUAGAGGAAUUUUAAUACAGCUAUAUAUUACUCUGACGGGAAUAUAGACAUAUGUUUAGUAUAUAUCCAGUGUUUAAUUCCAGACAAUAUAGGUAAGGUUAGUAUACAGAAGGAAGAAGCCAUGUUUGAAAGUGAACAUCUAAUUAAAUACCAGACAAGGUGAGGAGUGAGAGAAAGAUUUGACAGAAUGACUUAGAGAUAGGAUGUGCCCAUCUCUCGAAGAGCAGACAGGAAGAGGGGAGUUGAGUUGGGUUCAGGCAAGCAGUGGAUUCAGUUGAGUCAAUGAAUGUAGUUUUGUACAGUUCACUUCAGAGUUGGAAGUCAAUUAUGUCCAGCUGUUGAGGGAGACGAGUUCAGUGAGUGCAGUGCAGCGAUAGUGAGUUCCUUUAUGAACUCAUGCAGUUGAAUACAGGUCAGCAAAGGUUGGUAAAGCUAGAGAAUAAAUGGGAGCCAGAAGACUAGAACAAAUGGCAAUAAUUGUUUGAGGCCAAGCAGAGCAAUUCAGUGAAAAGCUGUGAGAAGCCAGAUUGCAUCAAUCAGUUUGGAGAAGAGUGAGCCUGAAGAGCUGAGGUGAACCAGUCAGCCAGAAUUCAGGAAACAAUACAAAACAAACAAAACAACUAGAAAGGAUGAGCUUAUUCAGCUGUAAGCCUCUGAGACUACAUUGCAUUUGAC